rnacentral:rRNA from 1 species
CCCCGUUCGGCGUGCUAUUACAUGCAGUAGAACGCUGAAGAGAGGAGCUUGCUCUUCUUGGAUGAGUUGCGAACGGGUGAGUAACGCGUAGGUAACCUGCCUUGUAGCGGGGGAUAACUAUUGGAAACGAUAGCUAAUACCGCAUAACAAUGGAUGACACAUGUCAUUUAUUUGAAAGGGGCAAUUGCUCCACUACAAGAUGGACCUGCGUUGUAUUAGCUAGUAGGUGAGGUAAUGGCUCACCUAGGCGACGAUACAUAGCCGACCUGAGAGGGUGAUCGGCCACACUGGGACUGAGACACGGCCCAGACUCCUACGGGAGGCAGCAGUAGGGAAUCUUCGGCAAUGGGGGCAACCCUGACCGAGCAACGCCGCGUGAGUGAAGAAGGUUUUCGGAUCGUAAAGCUCUGUUGUAAGUCAAGAACGGGUGUGAGAGUGGAAAGUUCACACUGUGACGGUAGCUUACCAGAAAGGGACGGCUAACUACGUGCCAGCAGCCGCGGUAAUACGUAGGUCCCGAGCGUUGUCCGGAUUUAUUGGGCGUAAAGCGAGCGCAGGCGGUUUGAUAAGUCUGAAGUUAAAGGCUGUGGCUCAACCAUAGUUCGCUUUGGAAACUGUCAAACUUGAGUGCAGAAGGGGAGAGUGGAAUUCCAUGUGUAGCGGUGAAAUGCGUAGAUAUAUGGAGGAACACCGGUGGCGAAAGCGGCUCUCUGGUCUGUAACUGACGCUGAGGCUCGAAAGCGUGGGGAGCGAACAGGAUUAGAUACCCUGGUAGUCCACGCCGUAAACGAUGAGUGCUAGGUGUUGGAUCCUUUCCGGGAUUCAGUGCCGCAGCUAACGCAUUAAGCACUCCGCCUGGGGAGUACGACCGCAAGGUUGAAACUCAAAGGAAUUGACGGGGGCCCGCACAAGCGGUGGAGCAUGUGGUUUAAUUCGAAGCAACGCGAAGAACCUUACCAGGUCUUGACAUCCCGAUGCUAUUUCUAGAGAUAGAAAGUUACUUCGGUACAUCGGUGACAGGUGGUGCAUGGUUGUCGUCAGCUCGUGUCGUGAGAUGUUGGGUUAAGUCCCGCAACGAGCGCAACCCCUAUUGUUAGUUGCCAUCAUUCAGUUGGGCACUCUAGCGAGACUGCCGGUAAUAAACCGGAGGAAGGUGGGGAUGACGUCAAAUCAUCAUGCCCCUUAUGACCUGGGCUACACACGUGCUACAAUGGUUGGUACAACGAGUUGCGAGUCGGUGACGGCGAGCUAAUCUCUUAAAGCCAAUCUCAGUUCGGAUUGUAGGCUGCAACUCGCCUACAUGAAGUCGGAAUCGCUAGUAAUCGCGGAUCAGCACGCCGCGGUGAAUACGUUCCCGGGCCUUGUACACACCGCCCGUCACACCACGAGAGUUUGUAACACCCGAAGUCGGUGAGGUAACCUUUUGGAGCCAGCCGCUAAGGUGACAAGG